UUAAAAUGUAGUGACAAGGACAUUCAUCAUUGCUUAUAUGAAUGUUUCUCAGUGAGAGUAAGGAAGCUCUCUUAUUCAUGCAGGAACAUUUUUCCUCCAGCUCUGGGCUCCGCUUUAAUUUUCUACUAACAAGACUGCAGUCAGCUCCACCUGCAGAUGAGGACCCUGUCUGGCUUCCCCUUGUCCUCUGGGGUGACAGUGUUCUUAUGGCUGACUAAUGCUUUUUCUCAGGUAGAGUGGCUGGCCAAAGGCUCCCGAGUUAAGCUUAUCUUUCCAGUUGACACCAGGGCCAGACCCAGAAUUCAUUUCCAAAGCAAAAGGCCGAUGUAAUGGAAAUUAGUUGGGAUACAUCCAAGGAAGGGAAUCUGUCUGCCAGAAAAGACAGGUUUUCAGAAGCCAGUCAGUGCUGCUUGGCCUCCUGCUUGCUAUGACGCGGCCAACGUGGUUGAUUCCCAGUACAGGAAUCUUCACAGACAGGAAGCACCAGGCCAGCUGGAUGGAGAAAGUCAUAAGUAUCUCAGACAAGAGAUGAUCCCCGCCACCAUCAGGAGCAGGAGCCUGCUUAGGACAUCACAAAGUAUUGCUUUAUAAUGCUUCAAAUAGAUGGAUUAGGUAUUUGAGGCACUUUGCAGUGUCUAAGUCCACCUCCAUGAAUAGUGUUUGGGGCACAGGCUCUACUACAGUUGGCACAAUUCAGAAUAUACCUGGGACCUCUACUUGACAAGUUCUGACAUAAUGACUGUACUCACCCAGCCAGAAGGCUUGACCCUCCCCCCUCAGUCCACCAAUGCCAGCGCCCAAGCACUGGUGGACACAAGAGCAUCUUUGCUAGAAAUGACAACAAGGCAACCAUGCUGCAUUCCAUGUGUGCAAUGUGAGGUUGAACUGCCUGGUACCAUCUAGCUUUGACCUUAAGAUUCUGUAAAACAUCACGAAAUAGGUUAAGCUAUUUCCUGUUUCCCCCUUUAGGCUUUUAGAGUGGGGUUCAAGAAGGCUAUAUGAUUUAGUUAACAAAGAUUGCCUUGAUGAUAAAAAUAUAAAGACUACUUGACACCUAGGGCUAUGGGUAUAAAUCAGAAAGCAUAGCAGAGUCACCAUUCUGCAGAGUGUCAAUAUUGGUUUCCACUUUAAAAUGUCAUUAUCUUUGGGGAUAUAGAAAGGAAAGGGACCUUAGAAGAUAGCUCUCGUCCAGUCCAGGAGUUCUUCACAGAAGGACAUCUAGCUCUAGACUUUUCGACACCUGAUACCUAUUCCUCUAUGUACAUGACCAUCUCAGAUGAGCAGCUUCAUGCUUGACUGAGGGAGUAUCCACCUUCCAAACUAUUUCCAGUUACCAUGACAGAGGAAAAGAGAAUGGCGUUUAUCCUACUCCAGCUCUUUAUUGAUCAAAUCAAGCCACAUGGUCACAGUUAACUUCGAAAGGGAUGGGUCAGGGAAAAAGAAGGGAGAGAGAAAGGGGAGAUGCCUAAGUGGCCUUCCCAGUGCUCCUCUUGUGGAGCUGCUGGGGGGUGGGGGAGGAGUGCUCGAUGCUAAUCUUAACUGUCAAUUUCAUCAGAUCUAGAACUACCUGGGAGAUGGUCCCCUGUGAGAAUUAUUUCCAUCACGUUAGUUUAAUUGGCAAGACUUGCACAUUGUGGGUGGCAUCAUUCUCUAGACUAGGACUCUGGACUGUAUAAAAAGGAAAAAGCAAGCUAGGCACAAGCACUUACUAUUCUUACUUCCUGAACAUGAUUGUGAUGUGACCAGAGCUGCAUCAAGCUCCUACCAUCUUGUUGACCUACCAUGAUGGACUGUAUCCUCAAAUGUGAGCCAGAGUAAACCU